rnacentral:rRNA from 1 species
AGAGUUUGAUCAUGGCUCAGGACGAACGCUGGCGGCGUGCCUAAUACAUGCAAGUCGAGCGGACAGAUGGGAGCUUGCUCCCUGAUGUCAGCGGCGGACGGGUGAGUAACACGUGGGUAACCUGCCUGUAAGACUGGGAUAACUCCGGGAAACCGGGGCUAAUACCGGAUGCUUGAUUGAACCGCAUGGUUCAAUUAUAAAAGGUGGCUUUUAGCUACCACUUACAGAUGGACCCGCGGCGCAUUAGCUAGUUGGUGAGGUAACGGCUCACCAAGGCGACGAUGCGUAGCCGACCUGAGAGGGUGAUCGGCCACACUGGGACUGAGACACGGCCCAGACUCCUACGGGAGGCAGCAGUAGGGAAUCUUCCGCAAUGGACGAAAGUCUGACGGAGCAACGCCGCGUGAGUGAUGAAGGUUUUCGGAUCGUAAAACUCUGUUGUUAGGGAAGAACAAGUACCGUUCGAAUAGGGCGGUACCUUGACGGUACCUAACCAGAAAGCCACGGCUAACUACGUGCCAGCAGCCGCGGUAAUACGUAGGUGGCAAGCGUUGUCCGGAAUUAUUGGGCGUAAAGCGCGCGCAGGCGGUUUCUUAAGUCUGAUGUGAAAGCCCCCGGCUCAACCGGGGAGGGUCAUUGGAAACUGGGGAACUUGAGUGCAGAAGAGGAGAGUGGAAUUCCACGUGUAGCGGUGAAAUGCGUAGAGAUGUGGAGGAACACCAGUGGCGAAGGCGACUCUCUGGUCUGUAACUGACGCUGAGGCGCGAAAGCGUGGGGAGCGAACAGGAUUAGAUACCCUGGUAGUCCACGCCGUAAACGAUGAGUGCUAAGUGUUAGAGGGUUUCCGCCCUUUAGUGCUGCAGCAAACGCAUUAAGCACUCCGCCUGGGGAGUACGGUCGCAAGACUGAAACUCAAAGGAAUUGACGGGGGCCCGCACAAGCGGUGGAGCAUGUGGUUUAAUUCGAAGCAACGCGAAGAACCUUACCAGGUCUUGACAUCCUCUGACAACCCUAGAGAUAGGGCUUCCCCUUCGGGGGCAGAGUGACAGGUGGUGCAUGGUUGUCGUCAGCUCGUGUCCUGAGAUGUUGGGUUAAGUCCCGCAACGAGCGCAACCCUUGAUCUUA